GAAAAGAACCCCGGCGAGGGGAGUGAAAAAGAACCUGAAACCGUGUACGUACAAGCAGUGGGAGCACCCUUUGGGGUGUGACUGCGUACCUUUUGUAUAAUGGGUCAGCGACUUAUAUUCUGUAGCAAGGUUAACCGUAUAGGGGAGCCGGAGGGAAACCGAGUCUUAACCGGGCGUUAAGUUGCAGGGUAUAGACCCGAAACCCGGUGAUCUAGCCAUGGGCAGGUUGAAGGUUGGGUAACACUAACUGGAGGACCGAACCGACUAAUGUUGAAAAAUUAGCGGAUGACCUGUGGCUGGGGGUGAAAGGCCAAUCAAACCGGGAGAUAGCUGGUUCUCCCCGAAAGCUAUUUAGGUAGCGCCUCGUGAAUUCAUCUCCGGGGGUAGAGCACUGUUUCGGCUAGGGGGCCAUCCCGGCUUACCAACCCGAUGCAAACUGCGAAUACCGGAGAAUGUUAUCACGGGAGACACACGGCGGGUGCUAACGUCCGUCGUGAAGAGGGAAACAACCCAGACCGCCAGCUAAGGUCCCAAAGUCAUGGUUAAGUGGGAAACGAUGUGGGAAGGCCCAGACAGCCAGGAUGUUGGCUUAGAAGCAGCCAUCAUUUAAAGAAAGCGUAAUAGCUCACUGGUCGAGUCGGCCUGCGCGGAAGAUGUAACGGGGCUAAACCAUGCACCGAAGCUGCGG
rnacentral:rRNA from 1 species